UUUUUCUUAAAUACAUUUUAUGUGUUCCUGACAUAAUUUAGUUUAAUUUAACAAACUAGUUUCAACUUUCAUUUGUGGUGUUUCGUGCUGCCAUUCUCUUCAUGUCUGUAUACCAAGCUGAAAACAAACAUGGCGCCCAAAAUGGACACACUGGUAAACUCAGCAACAGGAAAUGACCUAGAAAGCCACAGAAGAGGAAGGACACCUUCUUCAGGAGGUAUGCAUAUCACCAUCCAAGUCUCCUAGAAAGAAAGGACUUUGCAAAAUCUCUCAUAAACCUCAACAAUACAAAGGGAGAUGUGAUAUUGCAAAAUAAAAAAAUAAACAAAUGGCAAGAGGAAAAGCUUCAUUUGAACACGUGACACUGAUUUACCUUUAUGAUGGGAUGGGAAUUAAAAAAAAACUGUCGAGAUUAAGCUAAGGCUAAUUACUUUUACAGAUUUGAGAUCCUGAAAUGAUUUUUGUGUUUUUUUAACUCAUAUUCUUAAAACAAAGUUGAGAGUUUGCACUAAAAGCAGCUGAAGUAAUUAAAUUUGCAUUAUUUGUACACAUCUCUUCAAGGGUUUCCUUCAGUUCUUUUACACUUUUUUCAAUAUUUUACCUCUGGAGGGAAGGAUUAUGUGGAUGUACUGAAGCAACAUCAGCCAGAAAGUUAAAACUUGGCUGCUAAUAGGGAAUAUAUCAACUGAUGACAGCUGAUAUAUUCCCUAUUACAAUACCUCAAAAUAAAGAAGCCUGCGACCAUAAUGAGACGUGCCCGUAACAAUUAUUUAAUACAUUUAUUGAGAUUUUUUUCUUCUAUAUUGACUUGAAAAUGUUUACAGAAAUUGUACCAAGCAGACGCAUAGCAAUGGGAUCAAAGGCCAUGUCCAUUGAAUGCUAAACAUAAAAUCCAUAAAAAUGAUGCAAAUAUUAAUGCAGUACACGUACAUGUGUUGUAGGUAUUUUUUUUUCUUUUUCAUACAAAUUACAGAUUACAAAAACAUAAAUGAGAUCUUUUCAUAUGCCGUGAAGCAGCGCUGUAAAUACAGGAUGAGUAGGAGGACGCGUCGGCUCGCCCGUACAGGCCCCGAACGACUCUUAAAGAAACACGACACGUGCACGCUCACACACUAGAACCAGUCAUUCGAACAUCAAGGGAUGAGACGACGAGAAGCAGAAAUAAUAUCCAGCGUGCUUCAGUGGGUUCUUUAUACUUUCUUUCUUUUCUCUUUUUUUUUUUUUUGUUUUCUUUGUCCGGUUUCCAACAGCGUUCAAAGAGCAGAAUCCGGUCUGUCAGUCAUAUACAGCGAAGCACACACACAGUCCACAGAGUCCACGGUGAGCUGAGGCGGUAGUGGUGCAGGGGGCCGAGUCGGCCCACCGUAACAGAUCCCUCCCGAGCUUUUGAUUCUGGUGAUUGUAGUGUUAAAAGACCCCAGAGUCUGAGCCGUUAGUGGUGUCGUUGUGCAAGCAGACAAGUCCCGUUUAAACCCACUUUUCCAGUCAGCUGGGAUUGAUUGUUAGUGUCUGUGCCCCCCCCUCACCUCCUCCCUCCUUACUUACUUAAUGUCCAGAGGAAAGGGAAAAGAGAGGAUUGUCACCUUUAUUCUCCUCCAGUCUCGAAGGGGUGGUGGUGGUGGUGGUGGGGGGGUGAUAGUGAGUCGUGGAUUGUAUACAAAACGAUUGUGACUACUCAUAAGUGCAACAGAGAUUAACAUAUCAAAAUAAUGACGAGGAUAAAACCAAUAUGAUGGAAGCAAUAAAACAUUUAAAGCGUCUAAAAAGCUACAUCCUAUUGCACAAUUAAAACGUAUGAUACAAAAAAAAAAA